rnacentral:rRNA from 1 species
GACGAACGCGGCGGCGUGCCUAAUACAUGCAAGUCGAGCGAAGUUUUUCUGGUGCUUGCACUAGAAAAACUAGCGGCGAACGGGUGAGUAACACGUAAAGAACCUGCCUCAUAGACUGGGACAACUAUUGGAAACGAUAGCUAAUACCGGAUAACAGCAUUAACUGCAUGGUUGAUGUUUGAAAGUUGGUUUUGCUAACACUAUGAGAUGGCUUUGCGGUGCAUUAGCUAGUUGGUGGGGUAAAGGCCUACCAAGGCGACGAUGCAUAGCCGACCUGAGAGGGUGAUCCCCCACACUGGUACUGAGAUACGGACCAGACUCCUACGGGAGGCAGCAGUGAGGAAUAUUGGGCAAUGGUCGGAGGACUGAUCCGGCCAUGCCGCGUGCAGGAAGACGGCCUUAUGGGUUGUAAACUGCUUUUGCAGGGGAAGAAUAAGGACUACGAGUAGUUUGAUGACGGUACUCUGCGAGUAAGCAUCGGCUAACUCCGUGCCAGCAGCCGCGGUAAUACGGAGGAUGCGAGCGUUAUCCGGAAUCAUUGGGUUUAAAGGGUCCGUAGGCGGGCUAAUAAGUCAGAGGUGAAAGCGCUCAGCUCAACUGAGCAACUGCCUUUGAAACUGUUAGUCUUGAAUGGUUGUGAAGUAGUUGGAAUGUGUAGUGUAGCGGUGAAAUGCUUAGAUAUUACACAGAACACCGAUAGCGAAGGCAUAUUACUAACAAUUAAUUGACGCUGAUGGACGAAAGCGUGGGGAGCGAACAGG